GACCGAUGAGGACGAGGAAGUCAUCUACAAAAUUGAAGUUCCGGGAACAGGCGAAGAACACUGAUUGCAAUUGGGACUCAUGACUUGGAUGCGCUAGAAGGCCCCUUCAGCUAUGAGGCUUUGCCACCUUCCAGUAUAAGUUUCGUCCCCUUGAAGCAAGUAGUUUCAUGAUAAAGAUUGUAUUUUUCUGUUCAUGCAUGUGCCAUGAGUCUGAUCUGCAGAGAAGAUCUAUGUAUUUGUAAGGAUUUUGUUAACUGUUCUCUAGGGGCAAUUCUUAAGUCAACUGAUUAAGAAAUUUUUAUGGUUUUCAAUUGGAUGCACAGAUUGUUCUUGUGGUAUUUGUAAUUUUUUCUUUGGAAAGUGAAUCAUAUUAAAUAAGUAUGCUUAACAAGUGCCCUUUUGUUAACAGUGCUCUAAGGAGACUUACUAAGUAACUAAAAAGGAAAUUUUGUAGUUUCCAAUGCAUUAGCAUGUUAUUUCUAAUUACUAUUUUGCAAAGUGAAUUAUUCCAAAUUAAGUAUGCUUAACAUGUCAAUGCCACUUUUGAGUUCAUGAGAUUGCUUUCAUUUAUAUAUUUGUUUUGUUUUCUCUACCAACUGCGAUUGAUGUGUUGGCUGAUCACGCCUUAGUUUCUGUUCUGA